AUUGAACGCUGGCGGCAGGCCUAACACAUGCAAGUUAGAGCGGAAACGAUCCUAGCUUGCUAGGAGGCGUCGAGCGGCGGACGGGUGAGUAAUGCAUAGGAAUCUGCCCGAUAGUGGGGGAUAACCUGGGGAAACUCAGGCUAAUACCGCAUACGUCGUACGGGAGAAAGCAGGGGAUCUUCGGACCUUGCGCUAUCGGAUGAGCAUAUGUUGGUUUAGCUUGUUUGUGAGGUAAUGGCUCACCAAGGCGACGAUCCGUAGGUGGUAUGAGAGGAUGAUCAGCCACAUCGGGAGUGAGACACGUCCCGAACUCCUACGGGAGGCAGCAGUGGGGAAUAUUGGACAAUGCGCGAAAGCCUGAUCCAGCCCUGCCGGGUGUGUGAAGAAGGCUUUCGGGUUGUAAAGCACUUUCAGUGAGGAAGAAAGCCUUGGGGCUAAUACCCCCAAGGGACGACAUCACUCACAGAAGAAGCACCGGCUAACUCCGUGCCAGCAGCCGCGGUAAUACGGAGGGUGCAAGCGUUAAUCGGAAUUACUGGGCGUAAAGCGCGCGUAGGCGGCUUGAUAAGUCGGUUGUGAAAUCCCCGGGCUCAACCUGGGAACGGCAUCCGGAACUGUCAGUCUAGAGUGCAGGAGAGGAAGGUAGAAUUCCCGGUGUAGCGGUGAAAUGCGUAGAGAUCGGGAGGAAUACCAGUGGCGAAGGCG
rnacentral:rRNA from 1 species